rnacentral:rRNA from 1 species
AUUGAACGCUGGCGGCAGGCUUAACACAUGCAAGUCGAACGGUAGCAGGAGAAAGCUUGCUUUCUUGCUGACGAGUGGCGGACGGGUGAGUAAUGCUUGGGAAUCUGGCUUAUGGAGGGGGAUAACUACGGGAAACUGUAGCUAAUACCGCGUAGUAUCGGAAGAUGAAAGUGCGGGACCGUAAGGCCGCAUGCCAUGAGAUGAGCCCAAGUGGGAUUAGGUAGUUGGUGGGGUAAAGGCCUACCAAGCCUGCGAUCUCUAGCUGGUCUGAGAGGAUGGCCAGCCACACUGGAACUGAGACACGGUCCAGACUCCUACGGGAGGCAGCAGUGGGGAAUAUUGCGCAAUGGGGGGAACCCUGACGCAGCCAUGCCGCGUGAAUGAAGAAGGCCUUCGGGUUGUAAAGUUCUUUCGGUAUUGAGGAAGGAGGUUAUGUUAAUAGCAUACAUUAUAAGACGUUAAAUACAGAAGAA